ensembl:lncRNA
CGUGUGUCCAGCAGCCUGGGGCACCCAGCCUUGUCUGUGGCCAGCAGGCUGCCCAGGCUGCCAGCCCCGGUUCCAUCCCUGUCCGCAGUGAACUGCGGGCGGCCCGAGGCGGAUUUUAACUCGGUGGUGCACGGGAACGACUGGUGGGUGGGCUCCGUGGUGCGCUACAGCUGCCGGCCCGGCUUCCUGCUGCUGGGGGACCCUGCCAGCGCCUGCCAGCCCGAUGGCCGCUGGACCCCCAAGCCCUCCUGCCUCCGUGAGUAGCCCGGGUGUCGCGCUGAGCUCUGCCAGCGGCUGCAGGCACGUCCCGAGCCCUCCUUGCCCCGGGGCUCCAGGCGAGCCCCCCGCCAUGGGCUCUGCCCCUGCAGGGAUCUGCCUGCGCGGCCGCAUCCAGCUCAGCGAGCGGGACAUCGCCGGCAAGUGCUCCUCGUCCUGCGGCAGCCAGGAGCACCUGGGAGCCUUCCUCAACCGCGGCUGCAUCAAGAUCUCAGCCUGUGUCACCAAACUCUCGGGCUGGCCCCGCUGGUUCCAGCGCUGUGACAUCUGCGAGUGCGACUGCCACGUGCCCUGCGGUUCCUCCAGGUAGAGCUGGGCCACCCGGCGCUGUGCUCGUGUCUCCAUCGCUGUGCUCUGUCAUCCGAGAGGGGAAGAGAUGUUCUGCACUCGCUCUUGCAGGGCUGGCUCGUCCCAGGACUCUCCAGGGCAGGGGAUGCUCUGGGAGCAGCCUGUGCUGGGAUCUGUGUGUGUUUCCUGCAGCUGGGUUUGGGGACAGUGGUGGCAGCACCCGUUUCCCUGGCUGCUUCCCACAGGAGCCUCAGAUCCCUUUUAGGGGGGAGGCAGCACCUGUGCCUGUUACAAAAUACCUGUCCUUCAGUGCUGCAGGUUGGGAUUUCUCCCUGUCAGGUAAUUCCAGCUGAGAGGUGGAGCUGCCCUCUGAGCUUGCUGAGGCCAGCAGGAGUGUGACAUCUGCCUCCUGUCCCCAUGCCACAGACAGAGCAGCCCGGCCAGGGCUGCAGCACCCACUGCUGAGGGGUCCAGUGGGUCAAACUUCCCAGCAGCCUCCCUGGGAGUGCAGAGUGGAGAAAGGUCUCAUCUCCCAGGUGGAAAAUCUUUCCUAUGGGCUGCUCCAUCCACUGGUCCUGCUCCUUCCAGGGGAUCUGUGGUCCUGCCCUAAGUGCCCCUUUCCCCAGGGGCUUCUCCUCACAGCAGCUUGGGGCCACAAAGGGAGAGAUUUGGCUCCAACCAGGAACACCUCUGUGCCCCUUGAGGACAUCUCUGGCUCCUUAGGAAGCAGCCAUGGAAGCAGCUUUAUUCCCCCAGGGAAGGAGAGGGUGGUCUGGAGCACGUGAUGGCAUUGCUGGGGACGCUGGAGGACCAGCCAUGGGUCAUUAAAAAUAUAUUUGCAGGGAAUCACACAGCUUUUCCUAUCAUGCAGAGGUUCUGCUGCCUGCUCUGUCCCUGCAGCCCUGAACACAGAUGACAAAACCAGGACAGGCUCCCUCUGUCACUGUCCUGAGCAAGUGAGCCACCACGGGGACAUGGCUAUGGACAAGGCCACUUUGGGAAGGUCCCAGCUGGGGUUU